UUACUAUCAUUGCAGGUGAUCAUAGUUUCUGUAAUCAGCAAGAAAUCAGUAAGUAAACAUUCUACUUUACUAUAGUGUCAGUAGUUUAAUUUUUUUUCCAUUUGCAGGAAAGUAAAUAUUUUCAGUUUUGUGCUCUUAAAGUUCCAACCAGGCUGCUAUCAAGCUUACAUAUCACAGGGCACCUCACAAUGUUGUCAGUGGACCUACCUAUCUUCUUGAGACAGUUCUCUUAUUCCUCCGUUUCCAGACAACUGAUAAUUUUUACAUGUCUGUGAGUAUUUGAAUGAAAAGAGAGAGAAAAACAAUUGCCAGAUGACUUCUUAGUACCAUUUAAGAAAUACAAAUAUAUAAAUCAAUGAAACCAUAAAGAAUA